UACCGUACACAGGGUGGUCAUGAUGAGAAGGGGUAAGACAUUAGAAGAUCGAUCUGAACAGGCAAGAAGAAAGGAGUGUGUUCGUUCGUACAAGGACGGGCUAGGGGAAAGAGGAGAGAAUAAAAAAGAAGAGUGAGUUUUAAACAACGACUACCUAUGGAAGGUAGUCGAUCGAGAGAACUAAGCGACGUAACUCCUAUCCGCGCAGGUCGGACUCCACGUAGUCGUUCCGCCGUGACAACUCGAGCCGGUCGUUUAGGAGUUCGAGAGCAUGUACAUUGUAUACCAAGGAGAAGGAAAAGAACACUUAGGUGGUUGGGUACCAGAAACACACGACAACUUAGACAACUAAACACCAGGAUCACUGACCGCGAAGGACUUAUCACCCAUCGUCGCGGGUUCCUAGACGACGCGAUCCCUCCUCCGCUCUAGUAGCUAGACGUACGACGACAACUACAACAGCAGGCACGUAAACUAAACCAGCACCAAAAGUAGAACGUUGAGAGAACCUUUGUCGAAAUCAUAAUCCUUCCACCGAUGCAAAAGAAGGGGUUCGCGCGUUCGGUCUCCGUAGUAGCGUUAAAGGCGAGCUCCGUCGAGCUGUGUAGUUGGAGUAGGAGGUGUCGCCGUUGGCAGAAGCUUCAACUUGACGUCUACCUCGACGACCGUAAUGUUGUCCUUGGGUGAUAUCGUAAACUCCAACUAGUUUACAUACCAUGAAUGAACUAAACCACACUAACGAUCUGCCUCGACCGAACUACACCAAACUAACGAGCUGCCUCUACCGUACACGGGAGACCUCUUUCUGUAAAGGUUUCACGGUGACGAACCUCCUUCAACUGGAGCUUCGCAACCAGCGGCUUCCUUCUACUACAUCUUCAACAUGGGAUUUUAGAUCUCUUGUUACUUGGAAGUUCCAGCACCCCUUCAAUAAUAUACCUACCGACUCAAAUAGUACGAACGUGCUACCUUUCUCUCCGAAAAACCUACGGCAAACCUGUUUAAAAGAAAAAAAUCCCAAGACCUAUCUAUAAAACAAACCUCUCUAUACUAUCAAAACUAAACAAUCCCCUAUAACCUGGAAGCACUAAACAGUCCCCUAUAACCUGGAAGCAAAGGGGAUCCUACCUGACUAGCGAGUACCGUACCAGGUUGGACCUGGAAAAUAAAAGAUAUCCCACCGACUUAGCGAGUACCGUACCAGGUUGUACAUGCGCACACUACCGGUUUGGACAUAUACAAAAAAACGUGACUUACCACAUACGCAAAAAGACUAGGUUGGAUAACCCAAAGAUCCACCCUAGCACCGUCGCACUUUAAGUUGUACUUCAGCAGUACCGUGCCAUACCAGGACGGGCAAAAUUCUUCUAGAUUG
rnacentral:rRNA from 1 species